UUUUUUUUUUUUGAAACAAAAUUUCACUGUGUAACCUUCCCUGGCCUAGAACUUGCUGUGUAGAACAGGCUGGUUUCUAACUCACAGUGAUCCUCCUGCCUCUGCCUUCCCAGUACUGGGAUUAGAGACAUGUGCCUUCAUGCAGGGCCGGACUUUUUAAUUCCAUCCCAGGACUCCUGGCUUCUUCACCGUAAUUCUUGACCUGUAUCUCCAGGCGUUCUCUCUGUGCUAUGGUUCUCUUCUGUUUGUAAGUUUAUUUAUUGUGUGUGUUCCCGUGUGCACGUGGCACAGCAUGCCUAUGGUGAUCACAGGAUAACUUGUAGAAGUUGGGCCUCUCUUUUCACCAUGUUGGAACUGGCUGUGGAACUCCAGUCGCCCCACGUUGCCACAAGCACCUUUACACUCUGAGCCAUUUUAUCAGUUGGUAAUACUUUAGUCAGAGUCUUGCCUCUCCCCAUCCCCAAGCUGACCCUUGUGUGUAGGGUCCCCACUAUCCUGUGCAGAACCUUCUGUUCUUCCUCAGAGUCUGGACCCCAGGUUCUGUUAGGUGAUCUCAUAGCCCAGCCACGCACCCACUUCAUAUUGCACGUCUCCCUUCUGCCUCUCCUCACUACUUAGAGUCUGGAGCCACAAAACUUCUGACUAUGGCAUCUAUUUCCCAGGAUCUUAGGCAUGAAUUUCUAUUAAAGGCCCAGAGACGACCCCCUCCCCCCCCAACUUCCAAACUAAAUGAGCCCUUAAUUUAACUGUCAAUCUUAGCUUGCAGCUGGGAUUCCCCAGUCCAGGAUCCCUUUCCCUGGGUUAUAGACUUGAGUCCCACAUGGGACAUACCUGUAGAGCCCCCUUAUCCUCUGUAUUUGACCUCCAUCUCCACUCUUGCCCAUCAUUCAGUUCCAGUGGCUCUCCUUAUUCUCACCUCCUGUAGACUCUUAUUUCCUGUUACUCCAGGAAACCCCACCCACCUAACUUCCUGUUAGAACCUCUGCUCCUUCUAGUAUAGUAAGUAGACCCUCUCCUUCCCACCUUGGCUCCUAUAUGAACUGUAGCCAUCUUUGAAAAUUCACCAAACCAGGAGCCAGAUGAUGAUGACACACAUUUUUAAUCCUAGCUCUCAGGGGGCAGAGGCAGGCAGGCCUGUGAGUUCAAGGCCAACCUGGUCUACAGAGAGUUCUACAGCUAGCUAGGGCUACACAGAGAAACCCUGUCUGGAGGGAUGGGGCCGGGAGUCGGGUAGGAUAAAGAGAGGGGGGAGGGGAGGAAGAGAAAGAAAAGACAGCUCACCAACCCAGAAAACCAAGCCUGUCCUGUCCUACCUGCCCGUUCCCUCCAGCUUCAUCUGUCUCUCUCCAGGGUUCAGAGCAUCCUAGUUAACUCUGGACCUCCCAGAUAAUGUUCCCACAUAACCUUACUUUCUGAGCAUGGUAGCACACCUGUAAACUCAGGUCUUAGGAGGAGGACGAGGAAGGAGGAUCUGGGAUUCAGAGUCAGUCCUCGAUAUAGGGCAAAUUCUAGGCUAGCCUGGACUACAUGAGACAAUAUCAAAAACCAAAUGGGCUGGAGUUCAGUUGUAUGGCAUUGCCUUGGGCUCCAUCUCUAGCACUGCUUAAAAACUAGCCAUGGUGGGGCAGGCCUGUAGUCUGAGCACUGGGGAGAGGGAAGCAGGAGGGUCAGAAGUUCAAAGUCGUCAGCCACGGUAAGUGUGAGGCUGGCACAGGCUACAGGGGAUCCUGUCAACCACCAAGCAAAUAAAAUACAGUCCUCUGCAGUUUUACAUCUCUCCAAAACAGACGCCCCAGAUUGAGACCUUAGAACCCCAAGUGUGAGCAAGCCAUGCUCUUGCCCCUCCCUUGUGCCAUCAUUACCUGCAGGCCUGUAGCAUACUACCAAGAUGUGAGGGUGGCCUGGAUGUGUGGUUCAGUGGUAGAGUACUUCUCUAGCGUGCAAGAGGUACUGGGUUCCAACUCUGUCGCAGCAGUAAAGAGACAAUGGCCUAACCUGCUCCCCAAAUUAAAACUUCUAUACCCAUAUACCUGUGUGUCUUAUACUCUUUGUUUAAGUUACAUCUUAAUUUUUUUGUGUGUGUUAAUUCUUAUGUAUGUGUGCCGAGGUAUCCUUGUGGCAGUCAAAGGAUAACUUGAUAGAGUCCACUUUCUCCUUACAUGUGGGUUCUUGGGAUCAAACUCAAGUCAUCAGGCUUGGUAGCAGGCCUUUUCCCACUGAGUCCUCUCAUUGGCCCCUGUGCUUGUUAUACUCUCAAGCUGAGGGCAGGUACUUUCCAUUUAGGAAUUUUGCAUCUCACCUUCUUGGGGAAAACUUCUCAUUACUCCUAGAAAGUCCUUCCCCAUCCUCCCCAAAUCCAGCAUUCGGCUCCCAGUCCCACCCACACACCUAUUCCUUCCAGUUUCCUGGGAAGACCACCUGCCAGGCAGCAGUGUGUGGCAGCAGAGAAGCCCAGUGCCUCGCAUAGCAUUGUAUUAGGAAGCACUGAAGAGCCACACACAGCUGCAGAACCAUUCCUGGGAACACCUAUUUCUGUUCUCUGAAGGUUUGUCUUCCUGCCGGGUGGGAGGGCCUCUGGUCUGCCGGGUGGGAGGGGCCUCUGGUCUGCUGCCGGGUGGGAGGGGCCUCUGGUCUGCUGCUACAGGCUUUGUUUCCUGUCUUGCUGCCAUGGCUGUAAUACUGAGGAGGGAAGUGGGGCCUGCUGCCCUAGCACAUGUGGGAGGACAGGCAGGCUCUGGUGUACACGCUGACUUUACCGUGUUCUAUGUCCAUCUGUGAGGGGCUGGAUUCCUAAGCGCUGAGCAGACGCUUGACAGCGCACAUUUCAGGUCUGUGGCCCUGGUGCGCUCUGACUUGGAGGGCUCUCUGGCUGCUCUAACUUUCCUGAGAUGGGAGUAGGACCCGGGUGCUCUGUGCAGUCUGUAAGACUUAGAACCCCAGUGUUUAACAACGGCUUCUCUUGGGAUAGUUCCUGCCAUCACUGCUUAGGUGCUUGUGAUUUCAGAACACAUUUGAAGCCAGAUGUGACAGUGCAUGGCUGUCAUCUCAGCACUUGAGCGAGAGAGAGGCAGAAGCUAUCCUUUGCCACAUAGCAAAGGUGAGCACCUGUGUAAAAAUAAACAGCAGGGGCUCUGCAAGGUAGCUCAGUGGGGGAAGGCACCGGUCACCUGAGUUUGAUUCCAAGAGAGAAGGGACAACUGCAGGGUGUCCUCUGACCUCCGCAUCCACACUAUGGCACACAUCUGUUCCUGCCACCAUGCACACAAUAAAUUAAAAUUUGAAAUUAGCCAAGCAGUAGGGACCCUUGAUCCCAGCACUGGGAAGCUGUGGUGGAUCUCUGUGAGUUCAAGGCCAGCCUGGCCUAGAGAGGGAAUUUCAGGACAGCUAGGGCAGAGAAAUGUUGUUGUUGUUGUUGUUUUUUAAUAAAAUAAUUAAUUAAUUAAUUUUUAAAAAUCUGGCUUGACCUGCUGUUGCAGGCUUGUGUUCCCAGCUCCUGGGGAUGCUGAGGCAGGAGACCAGCAUUCAAGGCCAGCCUCAACAACAUAAGGCAACACCAGGUCAAACUAGGAAAUACAAAAGGGCGGUGUGCAGUAUGUGCAGCUCAGUAGCAGGCCGCUUGGGGAGCAAGUGCGCGACACUGGGUUCAGUCCCUGAUCCCUGACACUGGGUUUAGUCCCUGGUAGGUCCCUACC
rnacentral:lncRNA from 1 species